AUUGCUCUUGCUCAGGCUGUACAGGUGCCAGAUGGAAUGAUGCGGGAAUGUUAGCAUGGCUCCUGCGCAAGGACGACAUACAAAUGUGUGAAACAGUCUACGUUUAA
rnacentral:snRNA from 1 species